AUUGAACGCUGGCGGAAUGCUUUACACAUGCAAGUCGAGCGGCAGCGCGGGGCAACCUGGCGGCGAGCGGCGAACGGGUGAGUAAUGCAUCGGAACACGUCCAGUCGUGGGGAUAGCCCGCCGAAAGGCGGAUUAAUACCGCAUACGCCCGGGAGGGGAAAGCGGGGGACCUGCAAGGGCCUCGCGCGAUUGGGUUGGCCGAUGGCCGAUUAGCUAGUUGGUGGGGUAAAGGCCCACCAAGGCGAUGAUCGGUAGCUGGUCUGAGAGGAUGAUCAGCCACACUGGGACUGAGACACGGCCCAGACUCCUACGGGAGGCAGCAGUGGGGAAUAUUGGACAAUGGGGGCAACCCUGAUCCAGCAAUGCCAUGUGUGCGAUGAAGGCCUUCGGGUUGUAAAGCACUUUAGUGAGGGAGCAAGGCAGUAUUGAUAAUACCAAUAUUGUUUGAGAGUACCUCAAGAAUAAGCACCGGCAAACUCUGUGCCAGCCGCCGCGGUAA
rnacentral:rRNA from 1 species